GAUGAAGAACGCAGCGAAAUGCGAUAAGUAAUGUGAAUUGCAGAAUUCAGUGAAUCAUCGAAUCUUAGAACGCACAUUGCGCCCGCCAGCACUCUGGCGGGCAUGCCUGUUCGAGCGUCAUUUCAACCAUCAAGCCCCCAGGGGCUUGUGCUGGGGCCCUGCGGCUGCCCGCAGGCCCUGAAAACCAGUGGCGGGCUCGCUAGUCACACCGAGCGCAGUAGCACAUCUCGCUCAGGGCGUGCGGCGGGCUCCUGCCGUGAAACCCCCCACUGUAACCCCAAAGGUUGACCUCGGAUCAGGUAGGAAUACCCGCUGAACUUAAGCAUAUCAAUAAGCGGAGGA
rnacentral:misc_RNA from 1 species